GGCCUUCGGGUUGUAAACUGCUUUUGUACGGAACGAAAAGGCCCUGGUGAACAACCGGGGUUGCUUGACGGUACCGUAAGAAUAAGCACCGGCUAACUACGUGCCAGCAGCCGCGGUAAUACGUAGGGUGCGAGCGUUAAUCGGAAUUACUGGGCGUAAAGCGUGCGCAGGCGGACAUGCAAGACAGAUGUGAAAUCCCCGGGCUCAACCUGGGAACUGCAUAUGUGACUGUAUGACUGGAGUACGGCAGAGGGGGAUGGAAUUCCGCGUGUAGCAGUGAAAUGCGUAGAUAUGCGGAGGAACACCGAUGGCGAAGGCAAUCCCCUGGGCCAGUACUGACGCUCAUGCACGAAAGCGUGGGGAGCAAACAGGAUUAGAUACCCUGGUAGUCC
rnacentral:rRNA from 1 species